rnacentral:rRNA from 1 species
GAUGAACGCUGGCGGCGUGCCUAAUACAUGCAAGUCGAGCGAACAGACGAGGAGCUUGCUCCUCUGACGUUAGCGGCGGACGGGUGAGUAACACGUGGAUAACCUACCUAUAAGACUGGGAUAACUUCGGGAAACCGGAACUAAUACCGGAUAAUAUAUUGAACCGCAUGGUUCAAUAGUGAAAGACGGUUUUGCUGUCACUUAUAGAUGGAUCCGCGCCGCAUUAGCUAGUUGGUAAGGUAACGGCUUACCAAGGCAACGAUGCGUAGCCGACCUGAGAGGGUGAUCGGCCACACUGGAACUGAGACACGGUCCAGACUCCUACGGGAGGCAGCAGUAGGGAAUCUUCCGCAAUGGGCGAAAGCUUGACGGAGCAACGCCGCGUGAGUGAUGAAGGUCUUCGGAUCGUAAAACUCUGUUAUUAGGGAAGAACAAAUGUGUAAGUAACUAUGCACGUCUUGACGGUACCUAAUCAGAAAGCCACGGCUAACUACGU